UACGGGGGGGGCAAGCGUUGUUCGGAAUUACUGGGCGUAAAGCGCACGUAGGCGGCUUUGUAAGUUAGGGGUGAAAGCCCGGAGCUCAACUCCGGAACUGCCUUUAAAACUGCAUCGCUUGAAUCCAGGAGAGGUGAGUGGAAUUCCGAGUGUAGAGGUGAAAUUCGUAGAUAUUCGGAAGAACACCAGUGGCGAAGGCGGCUCACUGGACUGGUAUUGACGCUGAGGUGCGAAAGCGUGGGGAGCAAACAGG
rnacentral:rRNA from 1 species